CGAACAGCAGUGUUCUGCCGUCGAGUGUCUGGAACCCAAAUCGGACACUCGGCUAGGCAAACACCGCUGAGACCUCCACACUACCUGUAAAUUUGUGUAGAAACUACCGAACGGCUAUCCGUUCGGUAGACAGAAACCCAUGAACAAGGGGAUUCAUUUGAAUCCUCUCCAGUCCCCAGAGCCUAAGUCAUUCGUGCAGUUUAUUCCCUUUUUCUUUGAC